GGCCUAACACAUGCAAGUCGAGCGGUAGAGAGAAGCUUGCUUCUCUUGAGAGCGGCGGACGGGUGAGUAAUGCCUAGGAAUCUGCCUGGUAGUGGGGGAUAACGUUCGGAAACGGACGCUAAUACCGCAUACGUCCUACGGGAGAAAGCAGGGGACCUUCGGGCCUUGCGCUAUCAGAUGAGCCUAGGUCGGAUUAGCUAGUUGGUGAGGUAAUGGCUCACCAAGGCGACGAUCCGUAACUGGUCUGAGAGGAUGAUCAGUCACACUGGAACUGAGACACGGUCCAGACUCCUACGGGAGGCAGCAGUGGGGAAUAUUGGACAAUGGGCGAAAGCCUGAUCCAGCCAUGCCGCGUGUGUGAAGAAGGUCUUCGGAUUGUAAAGCACUUUAAGUUGGGAGGAAGGGCAGUUACCUAAUACGUGAUUGUCUUGACGUUACCGACAGAAUAAG
rnacentral:rRNA from 1 species